rnacentral:rRNA from 1 species
GACGAACGCUGGCGGCGUGCUUAACACAUGCAAGUCGAACGAUGAAGCCCAGCUUGCUGGGUGGAUUAGUGGCGAACGGGUGAGUAACACGUGGGCAACCUGCCCCAAACUCUGGGAUAACUCCUCGAAAGAGGUGCUAAUACCGGAUACGAACUAGACAGACAUCUGUACUAGUUGGAAAGUUUUUCGGUUUGGGAUGGGCCCGCGGCCUAUCAGCUUGUUGGUGAGGUAACGGCUCACCAAGGCUACGACGGGUAACCGGCCUGAGAGGGGGACCGGUCACACUGGGACUGAGACACGGCCCAGGCUCCUACGGGAGGCAGCAGUGGGGAAUAUUGCGCAAUGGGCGAAAGCCUGACGCAGCGACGCCGCGUGAGGGAUGAAGGUCUUCGGUUCGUAAACCUCUUUCAGUAGGGACGAAGCGAAAGUGACGGUACCUAAAGAAGAAGCACCGGCUAACUACGUGCCAGCAGCCGCCGUAA